AGGGGAGUAGCUCAGUUGGUAGAGCAUCGGUCUCCAAAACCGAGAGCCGCGGGUUCGAGUCCUGUCUCCCCUGCCA
rnacentral:tRNA from 1 species